rnacentral:rRNA from 1 species
CCUACGGGAGGCAGCAGUAGGGAAUAUUGCGCAAUGGGGGAAACCCUGACGCAGCAACGCCGCGUGAGUGAGGAAGGUCUUCGGGUUGUAAAGCUCUUUCGCAAGGGAAGAAAACUUACCCUCUAACAUAGGGUGAGGUUGACGGUACCUUGAUAAGAAGCACCGGCUAACUACGUGCCAGCAGCCGCGGUAAU